GAGUCAAUUUUUCCUUGAGUGAGAAUGGAUGAGAGAAAAUGUGGAGCUCCUGACAUAGUAGCAGAGGAAAGAUGGUCACUACCAUGAUAUGUUACGCUGAUGCUUCAUAAAGGUCAAGACACAAUGCUAAAGACUGAUUGAAAGGCCCCGUUACUUGCAUGACACUAUUCUUGGAUCAACAAAUACUUACUGCCAGGCAUCUUGAAAGGUCAGUGUGCAGUUGUCUAAUCAUAUUGAUAUUCCGAUGGUGAUUAACAUAUGUUAUGUAAUCUUUCUGUGCCUUUCUUAAUGGGAUCAGAUUCUAUAUCAUACAAGUCACAGACUUUCAAAAAGCUAUUGUGAGGGUAAAGCUAAAGACAACAAAAGAAUGAGUCAUUA